GAUGGGAACAUUCAUAUUCCCUCAUGUUAGAUCAUUUUUGUGACAUCAAAGAGUGGGCAUUCCUGUAGGUGGUAUUUAUAAUAAUAAUAAUAAUAAUAAUAAUAAUAAUAAUAAUAAUAAUACAAAAACUUUAUUUCUGUUCUGCCCUAUCUCACCGAAUGGAACGAAACACUUUGGUAAGAAGAUGACUCCCCCCAUUUUUCCCCUUCAUGGGAUGAGAUCCUGACUUACCCAAACUGGCACAUCAAUUCCAACUCUUUUAUGGUUCUAUUACAGCAAGAGUCUUGGAUGAAAUUCAAGAAUCCCUCUGAGAAUGUCAAAGAACCCUUGAAAUGAAGCAUGGCUGGCUUAUUGCUUGUUGGAAUGAAUGAAGUACGACAUAUCACCAGAUAAGCACACACACAGAGAGAAACAGACGCAUGUUGUCUGGCAUCCUGUCAGGGACAAAUGAACAGUCUCUCUUUUUUUGCAGGUGGUUGUGUUUGGCUUCAUUGUAUCUGAAGCGGGAAGAAAGUAUUAAUUACAUCCUGUCAAGAUCUGGGGCGAAGAAUUCAAUAUUAUCUUUUACUGUGACUAAGAAAUGAACCUAGGCUUGCUUCCAAACUCCAGCAGCAGCAACAGUCCCUGACUUUGACAUGCCGAGGAAGAUAAUAACUUUCAUCACAUGCUAAUUGUCUUGUUAACAUGGAUUGUGCAGCCAGCCAAAUAAAUGUCAUUCCAG